rnacentral:rRNA from 2 species
UAGGGAAUCUUCGGCAAUGGGGGGAACCCUGACCGAGCAACGCCGCGUGAGUGAAGAAGGUUUUCGGAUCGUAAAGCUCUGUUGUUAAGGAAGAACGAGUGUGAGAAUGGAAAGUUCAUGCUGUGACGGUACUUAACCAGAAAGGGACGGCUAACUACGUGCCAGCAGCCGCGGUAAUACGUAGGUCCCGAGCGUUGUCCGGAUUUAUUGGGCGUAAAGCGAGCGCAGGCGGUUAGAAAAGUCUGAAGUGAAAGGCAGUGGCUCAACCAUUGUAGGCUUUGGAAACUGUUUAACUUGAGUGCAGAAGUGGAGAGUGGAAUUCCAUGUGUAGCGGUGAAAUGCGUAGAUAUAUGGAGGAACACCGGUGGCGAAAGCGGCUCUCUGGUCUGUAACUGACGCUGAGGCUCGAAAGCGUGGGGAGCGAACAGG